GAUGAAGAACGUAGCGAAAUGCGAUAAGUAAUGUGAAUUGCAGAAUUCAGUGAAUCAUCGAAUCUUUGAACGCACAUUGCGCCCGCCAGUAUUCUGGCGGGCAUGCCUGUUCGAGCGUCAUUUCAACCAUCAAGCCCCCGGCUUGUGUUGGGGACCUGCGGCUGCCGCAGGCCCUGAAAACCAGUGGCGGGCUCGUUGUCACACCGAGCGUAGUAGAUUUUCAUCUCGCUCAGGGCGUGCUGCGGGUUCCGGCCGUAAAAAGCCUUAUUUACCCAAGGUUGACCUCGGAUCAGGUAGGAAGACCCGCUGAACUUAAGCAUAUCAAUAAGCGGAGGA
rnacentral:misc_RNA from 1 species